AACGCACCUUGCGCUCCUUGGUAUUCCGAGGAGCAUGCCUGUUUGAGUGUCAUGAAAUUCUCAACCUUUCUGGCUUUUAUAAGCUGGUCAGGCUUGGAUUGUGGGAGUUGCUGGUUUCUUUUGAGAUCGGCUCUUCUUCAAUGCAUUAGCAAAAUUCUUGCUGGCCAUCUUUGGUAUGAUAAUUAUCUAUAUCAUUGAGACACAGCUUCUCCACUUCAAUGGGAUUUCAGGCUCUGCUUGGUUUUUUAUCUCCAAGUGUUCGUUUCCACCUAGCUUAGGCACAGACGUUAACUCGUUUGAUGGUGUUGAAUACUUCAGGUGGACGAAGCGCGGCGUUCUCAGGAGCGCUCACGAGAGCAAGCAGCAUCAUCUGUGAUGUGUGCACUGUCAUAUUCCUGUACCUACCCUAGCUACUAUGUGGCUUUUAUGGGUCUGGUCUAACCAUGACCUGAACAUAUCCUUAGUGGGAGAAUCUUGCUUCUAAUAUAGUUCCUAUGAACAUCUUGACAAUUUGACCUCAAAUCAGGUAGGACUACCCGCUGAACUUAA
rnacentral:misc_RNA from 1 species